rnacentral:lncRNA from 1 species
UAGAGCUGGCAAAAUUUGACACGACCCGAUUACCCGACACGAACACGAUAUAAAUAAAUGGGUAUGGGUCGUCAAAUUUAACACGAUUAUUAAAUGGGUCGGGUCCAGGUCAACACGAUUUUUUUCCGUGUCGGGUUUGGGUUAAAAUUCUUGACCCAUUUACCCGAUCAAUGACCCGAUUAUAUUUUCUAUUUUAAAAUAAUUUACAUAUUCUUAUAAUUAAAACUCAAAUAUUAGAGAUGAUUUUCUUUUUUUUUAUUCUUUAAAAGGGUGAAUAUAAACACAAUGUUUUAUUUAUAAAAUUUUACAUACAUUUAGAGCUUCAAU